rnacentral:rRNA from 1 species
UACGUAGGGUGCAAGCGUUGUCCGGAAUUAUUGGGCGUAAAGAGCUCGUAGGCGGCCUGUUGCGUCCGCUGUGAAAGCCCGGGGCUUAACCCCGGGUCGGCAGUGGAUACGGGCAGGCUAGAGGUAGGUAGGGGAGAAUGGAAUUCCCGGUGUAGCGGUGAAAUGCGCAGAUAUCAGGAGGAACACCGAUGGCGAAGGCAGGUCUCUGGGCCACUACUGACGCUGAGAAGCGAAAGCAUGGGGAGCGAACAGG